rnacentral:rRNA from 1 species
GACGAACGCUGGCGGCGUGCUUAACACAUGCAAGUCGAACGGAAAGGCCCUGCUUGCGUGGGGUUCUCGAGUCGCAAGGGUGUGUGAAACAUGGGAGUAACCCGCCUUGGACUUGGGGAUAACUGGAGGAGACUGGGGAUAACACCGGAGAGCUGCGCGUGCUGCAUGGUGGUGGUUGGAAAGUUUGGGCGGAUGGGGAUGGACGCGGGGUUUAUCAGCUUGUUGGGGGGGUAGUGGCAUACCAAGGCUUUGGCGGGUAGGCCGCCUGGGAGGGUAAACGGCCACAUGGGGACUGCGAGACGGAGCAGACUGGUACGUGAGGCAGUGGUGGAGAACAUUGCACAAUGGGCGGACGCCUGAUGCAGCGACGCCGGGUGCGUGAUGCCGGCCUUGUGGUUGUAAACCGCAGUCGCCUGUGACGAAGCGGUAGUGACGGUAAUGGGAGAAGAAGCACCGGCUAACUACGUG